AACGAACGCUGGCGGCAGGCUUAACACAUGCAAGUCGAACGCAUCCUUCGGGGUGAGUGGCAGACGGGUGAGUAACGCGUGGGAACGUGCCCUUCAGUUCGGGAUAACCCAGGGGAACUUGGGCUAAUACCGGAUACGUGCGAGAGCAGAAAGAUUUAUCGCUGAAGGAUCGGCCCGCGUCUGAUUAGCUAGUUGGUGGGGUAAUGGCCCACCAAGGCGACGAUCAGUAGCUGGUCUGAGAGGAUGAUCAGCCACAUUGGGACUGAGACACGGCCCAAACUCCUACGGGAGGCAGCAGUGGGGAAUAUUGGACAAUGGGCGCAAGCCCGAUCCAGCCAUGCCGCGUGAGUGAUGAAGGCCUUAGGGUUGUAAAGCUCUUUCGUCCGGGACGAUAAUGACGGUACCGGAAGAAGAAGCCCCGGCUAACUUCGUGCCAGCCGCCGCAGUAA
rnacentral:rRNA from 1 species